rnacentral:rRNA from 1 species
GGACGAACGCUGGCGGCGUGCCUCAUACAUGCAAGUCGAGCGGACUGACUUCGGUCAGUUAGCGGCGGACGGGUGAGUAACACGUGGGUAACCUGCCCUAAAGACCGGGAUAACAUCCUGAAAGGGAUGCUAAUACCGGGUGUGGUCUAGCUGUCGCAUGGCAGUUAGAAGAGAGGCGAAAGCCGCUUUAGGAUGGACCCGCGGCCCAUUAGCUAGUUGGUAGGGUAAAGGCCUACCAAGGCGACGAUGGGUAGCCGACCUGAGAGGGUGACCGGCCACACUGGGACUGAGACACGGCCCAGACUCCUACGGGAGGCAGCAGUCGGGAAUAUUGGGCAAUGGGGGAAACCCUGACCCAGCAACGCCGCGUGAGUGAUGAAGGCCCUCGGGUCGUAAAGCUCUGUCCUUGGGGACGAAGAAUGACGGUACCCAAGAAGAAAGCCACGGCUAACUACG